rnacentral:rRNA from 1 species
GACGAACGCUGGCGGCGUGCUUAACACAUGCAAGUCGAACGGAAAGGCCCUGCUUUUGUGGGGUGCUCGAGUGGCGAACGGGUGAGUAACACGUGAGUAACCUGCCCUUGACUUUGGGAUAACUUCAGGAAACUGGGGCUAAUACCGGAUAGGAGCUCCUGCUGCAUGGUGGGGGUUGGAAAGUUUCGGCGGUUGGGGAUGGACUCGCGGCUUAUCAGCUUGUUGGUGGGGUAGUGGCUUACCAAGGCUUUGACGGGUAGCCGGCCUGAGAGGGUGACCGGCCACAAUAGGACUGAGAUACGGCCCAGACUCGUACGUGAGGCAGCAGGGGGGAAUAUUGCACAGUGAGCGGGAGCCUGAUGCAGCAGCGCCGCGUGCGGGAUGACGGCCUUCGGGUUAUGAACCGCUUUCGCCUGUUACGAAGCGUGAGUGACGGUAAUGGGUAAAGAAGCACCGGCUAACUACGUG